GUGGGCGGCGGGCUACACUGCAAGUCGAACGGUGAAGCCAAGCUUGCUUGGUGGAUCAGUGGCGAACGGGUGAGUAACACGUGAGCAACCUGCCCUGGACUCUGGGAUAAGCGCUGGAAACGGCGUCUAAUACUGGAUAUGAGCCCCUAUCGCAUGGUGGGGGUUGGAAAGAUUUUUUGGUCUGGGAUGGGCUCGCGGCCUAUCAGCUUGUUGGUGAGGUAAUGGCUCACCAAGGCGUCGACGGGUAGCCGGCCUGAGAGGGUGACCGGCCACACUGGGACUGAGACACGGCCCAGACUCCUACGGGAGGCAGCAGUGGGGAAUAUUGCACAAUGGGCGAAAGCCUGAUGCAGCUACGCCGCGUGAGGGACGACGGCCUUCGGGUUGUAAACCUCUUUUAACACG
rnacentral:rRNA from 1 species